GGGGCCGUAGCUCAGUUGGGAGAGCGCUUGAAUGGCAUUCAAGAGGUCGAGGGUUCGAUCCCCUUCGGCUCCA
rnacentral:tRNA from 1 species